UACAGAGGUGGCAAGCGUUGUUCGGAAUUACUGGGCGUAAAGGGCGCGUAGGCGGCCAUCUAAGUCAGACGUGAAAUCCCCCGGCUUAACCUGGGAACUGCGUCUGAUACUGGACGGCUUGAGUAUGGGAGAGGGAUGCGGAAUUCCAGGUGUAGCGGUGAAAUGCGUAGAUAUCAGGAGGAACACCGAUGGCGAAGGCAGCUCGCUGGGACGGUACUGACGCUGAGGCGCGAAAGCGUGGGGAGCGAACAGG
rnacentral:rRNA from 1 species